GAUGAACGCUAGCGAUAGGCUUAACACAUGCAAGUCGAGGGGCAGCACAAGGUAGCUUGCUAUCUGGGUGGCGACCGGCGCACGGGUGCGUAACGCGUAUGCAACUUGCCCUAUACAGGAGGAUAACCCGUCGAAAGACGGACUAAUACUGCGUAUGCUCACAACUUGGCAUCAAGUGGUGAGGAAAGAAAUUCGGUAUAGGAUAGGCAUGCGUCCCAUUAGCUUGUUGGUGAGGUAACGGCUCACCAAGGCAACGAUGGGUAGGGGAACUGAGAGGUUUAUCCCCCACACUGGUACUGAGACACGGACCAGGAUCCUACGGAAGGCAGCAGUGAGGAAUAUUGGUCAAUGGGCGCGAGCCUGAACCAGCCAAGUCGCGUGAAGGAGGACUGUCUUAUGGAUUGUAAACUUCUUUUAUACGAGAAUAACAAGAGUCACGGGUGACUCCCUGCAUGUACCGUAUGAAUAAGCAUCGGCUAACUCCGUG
rnacentral:rRNA from 1 species